rnacentral:rRNA from 1 species
UAAUAGCGUAUAUUAAAGUUGUUGCAGUUAAAAAGCUCGUAGUUGGAUUUUUGAGUAUGACUCGACUGUCCCGGGCCUUAGUGCUCGCGCGAUGGUCGGUCGGCUCUUCCUUCCAGUGCCAGUGCGUGUGCUCUUAAUUGAGUGUUGCGUGCGGUCUGGGACCUUUACUUUGAGCAAAAUAGGGUGUUCAAAGCAGGCGUUUGCCUUGAAUACAUUAGCAUGGAAUAUCAAUAUAGGACUGUGGUUCUAUUUUGUUGGUUUCUAGGACCAGAGUAAUGAUUAAUAGGGAUAGUUGGGGGCAUUCAUAUUUCAAAGUCAGAGGUGAAAUUCUAAGAUUCUUGAAAGAUGAACUUAUGCGAAAGCGUUUGCCAAGGAUGUUUUCAUUAA